AUAAAUUGCUACAGAUGGCCACAGGCACAUCACUAAAGAUUUCCCCCCAUUGACUUUAAUUGUCUUUAAUGUUAAUUCUCGUAUCUUAGACCGACUCUAACUUUUUCCCAUAUUUUUGUUGGGUAGAACGCUUUCUACCACAGAUGGAGCAACAUGUGUCAAUCUCUUGCCCAAAAGCACGUGUAGGUUCUUCAUGAAAAACUUGAGAUACACAAGCUGAAGUAGAGACAACUAAACAUGCAAUUUAAGGCCCUACAUUUCAACCUAACCAACCUCUCAACUCUUGUAUCCUUCCGCAUCAAAAUUAUGAAUAUUCACCAAAACCUGGCAGAAAAUGUAUUUUCAAACCCUUUUCUUCGAUUCAAUACCAAAAAGUCAACAAAAGGGAGAGGAAGACUAAAAAUAGCUUUGGCCCUGGAAUAUUUGGUGGGGAUCUCGUGGCUAAGACGCUUGCUCGCUAGCCUGGAGGUCAGGUGUUCUAUCCCUGCAUUGGCCGAGAAAGUUCAUCCAGAUUUUCCGGCGUGGUUCCCCCUUGUCGGUGAUGCAGGACAGAGGGCCUGACAAGGACAGCUGUCUAGUCCUUCGGAUGAUACACUGGAAUGCACGUAAAAGAUCCCUUGGCAGUUGGAAUUCGAUAUAAGAGUAGGCGAUAUAGUGCCGCUGCCGCAAAAUUUCCCUCAUAGCACACUGUAUGAGUAUGGCGUAUGCCCGUCUUUAUAUUAGCCCUGUUCGGAGCAGAACAGUAGGACGUCAAACCCCAAUUUCAUUUAAUUUCUCUUUCUCUCAUCGCCAAUUUUUAAAAUAAAAUUGCACCAUGUUAGUCACUAAAUAACUCUUAGUUUGUGUUGAGUGGACGUUACACCCCCCCCCCCCCCCACACACACACACCCACACCCCCAACAGAACAAUAUAUUCAGUCCAGUCGAUAAAAUCAGUCAAUUAGUUCAGUCUGUAACAUCAGUCAAAUAGUUCAGUCGAAUAAACCAGUCGAAUAAACCAGUUGCUCAAUAUUAAGCAGCGAUGGCAGUGGACUAAGAUAAUAAUUGUUUGACGUUCUAACUCAUGACGUCAACUGGCAGACAGUCGCCAUUCAUGGAGAUUACCACUGUCAAGAUCGGCCACAUUGUUUCUGUUGCGUCUUUUUUGAAUUCCUGAUUGUUUACAGAUUCGAGUGAAGUCUGUGUCACCACAGGCCCGGGACUGUACAGCGCAGUGGACGCUUACGGCUGGUCCCCGGAUCCAUUCACUUGAUUUGAUAUUUGUUUAUUUGGUGCAAUGUCUAUUUUCUGGCUUGUCCGCAGGUUUAUCUUGUAAAUUUUUGUUUUGCGUGUAGUGCGGUCACUUACUAAUAGAGUAGCAAAUCAAGCUCGUAGCCAUAGCUGAAGGAGUCAGGGGCCGGGGGGCUUCCUAUCUAGUUUCAAUUCCGAUUUUGCGGGCAAAAGUAGUUUGAUAAUGAAGGUAUUUAGGCGAUGCUCAAGUAGAGGGUAACUUUUUCGGCUCCCACAUCUAAAUGAAUAGAAUCGUUACUAAUGCCUGUAGUCUUGGCAGAUGGGGGGGAGGGAGUAUUGGACGAGUGGCAAUCAUGCUCGCAGUCAUAUAGCUGAAAGGUAUGGGGUAGGGGCCGGGGGAUUCCCAACUAGUAAUAGUAUCAAGUCUCAUUUUACGGGCAAAAGUAGUUUGAUAAUGAAGGUAUUUAGGCGAUGCUUAACCCAGUCUCUAUAUAUAACCAUAGAAAGGGGGUGCGGGUGGGGUGGGACGUGUGGGGAUGAGGUAUUUCACAUUUUCAUAUGUGGCCUCGUCCAGUCGAUAAAAUCAGUCAAUUAGUUCAGUCUAUAAGUAUAACAUCAGUCAAAUAGUUCAGUCGAAUAAACCACAGAAGAGCAUGCCUACUGUUUUACUUCCAGAUAUACGAACCCAGUCAUUACUCGGCAUUAGACCAUUUUGACAAUUUGUCUAAGGCUUCUUGCAUUCUCGUUCUAACCGUACCGUAGUUAUUCGCUGCAUGCCAGAUUGAACUAUGUCAAUAAGUUUCUUAAUGUACCGUAGUUAUUAGACUGAAGGUGUUAAUUGUGACGUCUAAUUGUUUUAUAGUGUUCCUAAUUGACCUUUCCGUCGACUCCGCCCACAAUAAGGCUUUGACCAAUCAGCUCCGUUUACAGUUUCCCGUGAAAUGACGUUGCGUUACCACGCUUCAUCACCUUAGACAAACUUCGUGAAUUUUGACAUUUCAUCGUGUGUUGAAACGUCAGUUAGGAGAUAAACAUUGCUCACAUGGACAUCGUAACAUCUAUCCAGACAAUAUGAAGGGUGUUUUAGUGUGCAUUCUCUUCCCAAAACAGUUAAAAAAACAAAAAAUAUAGGAUGUGUCUUCUAGGCCUAAUGGAUAAAUAAGACUGUUGUCGAAGUCACUCCCAGUUAAAUGUAAACAAACGUCAAUUCUAACCGGUCAAGUGUGUUCCAAGCACUUUCUGAAGCGGCCUGGACCAAUAGAAAAUAAUCCUGAACCAUAUUCAGCUGAUCAUAAUGGAUAUAUAAUAUUAAACCAAAACAAACAAGAGCUGCAGCAAUAAAAAGACAGACAAAUUGUUGACAGCUACAUUUCUAAAGAAGGAGAAGAAAAAUAAAAUACCAAGAAUUAACUAAAAAUGUGAAAUGAAAUGAUAUGAAAUGGGGUUUAAAGUCCAACUGUUUUGCUCCUAAACUGGGCAAAUGAAGACGGGCAUACGCCAUACAGUGUGCUAUGAGGGCAAUUUUGCCCGGGCAGCGGCGCUACGGCCUACUCUUAUAUCGAAUUCCAACUGCGAAGGGAUCUUUUACCUGCAUGCCAAUGUGUACACGGGACCUCGGUUUUUCGUCCCAUCCGAACGACUAGACAGCUGUCUUUGUCAGGCCCUCCGUCCUGCAUCACUGACAAGGGGAAACCACACCGGAAAAUCUGGAUGAACUUUCUUGGCCAAUGCAGGGAUCUAACACCCGACCUCCAGGCUAGCGAGCCAGCGUCUUACCCACAGGAUUACUGGUAUUUUGCUUAAUAUACUAUUCAAAAAAAGUAGGGGAUAUUUGAUUUUUAAGUGUUAUUAAAGUCACCUAAUGAAACUGACGAAGAAACAAAUGACAAAAUGAAAUGAAGUUCACAUUCAUCGAUUUAUUCCAAAUGAUCGUUAGACUAAGUAAGGCACAGACUGACCAUUAUAAGGGUAAAAUGAUACCCGGGGUCAAACAGCAAAGUUACCACAGCAUCACAACCAAGUCAGUAACGGGUAAAUCCUCCUCUGUUUGCCAAACAAGCAUUGAUCCGACGUGGCAUACUCCUAAUGAGACGUCUAAGGUCAUUUUGGUCCAGAUUGUCCCAUUCCUGUUGCAACGCAGCAGCAAGUUCUUGGACAUUGGCAGGACGUUGUUGACGUUGACGUAACCUCUGUCCAAGCAUGUCCCAGACAUGCUCGAUGGGGGAGAGGUCGGGACUCAGUGCUGGCCAAGGUAAUGUGGUGAUGUUCUGUUGUUGGAGGUAACCUGUAACGAUCCUGGCCCUGUGACAUCUUGCGUUGUCAUCCUGGAAGAUGAAACGGCGGCCAUGACGUCAUGCGAACGGCACAACAUGGACUGCCAAGAUGUUGUCCCGGUAGUACUGGCCUGUAACACGCCCUGCAACAACAUGUAAAGCCGUUCUUCCAGCAACAGUGAUGCCUCCCCACACCAUAACGGAACCACCCCCAAAUCGAUCAUGUCUGAUGACGUUAACGUCUUGGAAGCGCUCGUUUCGACGACGCCACACCCUCCUACGUCUGUCCAAAAAAUCAACAGUGAACCUUGACUCAUUUGAAAACAUCACAUUGCUCCAGCGUCGAUUAUCCCAGUGUUGACGAUCCCUACACCAACGACGUCUUGCCUGAAUGUGAUGAUCUCUCAAACAAGGGAUCACGCGAGGACGUCGGGCGCGAAGGUGACCCCUAUGCAGUCGAUUCCGAAUCGUCCGGCCACUCACUCUCACACCAGUGUCUGUUUGAAGACGAGCGCUGAUCUGAUUUGCUGUGAUGACACGAUUUCUCAAGGCCAAGGUACGGAUAAAUCGAUCCUGGGCUUGAGUUGUCGCCCUUGGUCGACCUGAGCGUGGUCUGUCCUGUACAGAUUGUGUAUCACGGUAUCUGGACCAUAGCCUGCUUAUGACAGACUGAGAAACAUUCAUCGUCCGCGCCACAACCGCCUGUGUUGUGCCGAUCUGUAGCAUGCCAAGGGCACGUAACCUUUCAUUUUGGGUAAGCCGACGCAUAUCAAAAUUUGUUUUUUGGUCACUAAAACAAUUAAACUGAUGUUUCCACCCUGGAAUUCAAUGCCACAAUGACUGUAACAUUCAAAGUCAGAGUCGUGCAAAUCUUGGGUUGGACCCCCAUGAUGAUCCCAAGCAUCACCUGCAUUCCAUGCGGUAGCUAUUGGUGCGUUUGGGCGUCACAUGUAACUGGAAAUGUUUCUUCUUUUAGGUUCUAUAGUGACUUUUUUCGUAGUCAUUUGCAUAUUUUAGUAUUAUGCCCCCAAAAUCAAAUAUCCCCUACUUUUUUUGAAUAGUAUAUAAAUAAUCUACGAUAACCACAUAUACACUAAUUUUUCAAACUCUUACAAAGAAAUUUAACACGUGAUUUCACAAUUUCACUCUCUGCAAAGUCUGUUGCCUUUUGAUUCAGAACAAACAUUGUAAAACUGUUUGCAUAAUUAAAUCUAGUCAUUUAGAUGUAGCCUAAACACUAUACAUGUAUUUUUAAAUAAAUAAUAUUACUUACUGGUAUCUACAAUCUUGAAGUGUAUUCUUUCACAACAUAUCGAAAUGACAUUGUGUUGAUAAUAUAGAUGAGGAUUACUGCAACAGUAUCAAUCUUGUCACUUCUUACUCUUAGUCUUGGCUUUUCUUCAUUGUUGUGUUAGUGAUAUACAUGGGGGAAAAAACUGAACCCUGUCAUUUGCCAGUGUUGGGAGUGCAAUCACAAGCAUUAAAUCAUCAUGAUAAAAAGAAAAUCUUGGCAUGUUUUCUCUAUUUUACUAGUUGAAAGGAACAUACUAUGAUGUGGCCUGGCCUACUAUAGACAUACAACUGCACCAGUUAUGAAACGUGAAUAUAUUCGCUGCCUAAAGUUUUGGUAUUUCACUAUUAUAUAGUAAUAGAUUAGUACUAUAUUAACGACAGUAACGUAACUUUGUGUUUAGGAUAGCCUACUAGGCCUUAUAGGCCUUGCAAUCUACAGAAGUACCUAUAGCCAACUGUGGUUUUCUCUAAAUUUAUAUCAAAUCCAGACCAGACAAUGCUUAACAACUAUGAUGAUCAUUAUUAAUUUAAAAGUUGCAGGACCACAGAAUGUCAUACGUUAUAGUUAUAUACGUAUGAUGGUACUUGUAAUUGUAUGUACCCCCCACCCUCCCUCAUUACGCUUCACUAUCUUUUAUUAAUUCAACCAUGCUUACAUUUAUAGACAUAAGUGAUAAUAAACAAAUAGAUUUUGCUUACCCCUUCUGGCAGCAACAAUGGUAGUCUGUUACUUCCUUUAUUUCUCGUUCUAUCUCUUGCCAGUUCGGACUUCAUUGACACAUUGAUGCCUGAUCUGUCAAUUGCCUAAAACAGGUUCACCUGUACCUGGAGCACUGCUUCUUUACUUCAAACUAACAAUACACUUCAAAAUUAGCGGGAAGGCCCAAAAGAUUGACACAAGAUUGAACGUCGUUCAGCCAUCGCCAUGCUUAUGUCUAAGGCACGUCAUAUAUGUUGUCUAAGGUGACGUCAUUACAAAAAGUGGGAGGAGCUACAGGUAAAGGUAUUCAGAAACAAUGCAAAACUGCGGAAAUGCACUGCUGUUUUUAUUAGAGGUAACCAGUGUAUGUUAAUAACAGGCCAAUUGCCUACACAUGAACAUAAACAGUUCAUAUGGGCGACUUAUCUGACGGCCCCAUUUCACUCGCAAAGAGUUAACCGUCAAAAGUGAAAAUGGACGUUUUUGAUUUUUGUCUUAAUAAUGAGUAAUUGCUCCGCAAUCCUCAGACAUUCAGCAAUUCCUCGUGGCAUGCUCCUAAUCAACCGUCCAAUCACGAUUUGGGGCAAUCUGAUCCACUCCUCUUGCAAUGCCACGGCCAAGUAAACGUAACAAAUUAAACGUAACACACUAAAGCAAAGAUACGCUAAACAGUAAAUCUUAUGCAAGAACUGAUAGGAAAGCAAACAUGGAUAGAUAAACCAGCACGCGGCAGUUUUCAUCAACCCUUCCUUGAAGUGUCAAAUUUGACAAUGAACCCCUCCCACAUGGUUCUUUUGGGUCGAUAAGUUCUUCAUCUGUGAACAUACUCUCAAAGCAUGUCAAAUGUCCAUGACUAUUUAUCAUAUCGCAACAUGCAUAGGUAUUUGCAUUUCAAUAUCCCCUACUUUUUUUUGAAGAGUAUAUAUAAUUUAUAUCUUCGUUAUAACUGAUAAAAUGUAAAUAGAUAAUCUUUAUAUUUUAAUACAUAAUAUAGUACUUAUAUUAUAACUUGAUUUUUGAUCUAUUAGUGAUUAGUAGAAUAUAUCCAUCAUUUAAUAAUUGAAUAUGACAUGUUCUGUUCACCCAUUGUAAAUAAUCAUUUUGUAUCUUUUAAGUGUUUUUGUGUAUAGUGUAUAUAUUGUCCCGAAAUAAACUGUUGUGUUAUCAA